GACAGAGGGUGCAAACGUUGUUCGGAAUUACUGGGCGUAAAGCGCGUGUAGGCGGCCCCUGCAAGUCGGGUGUGAAAGCCCUCGGCUCAACCGAGGAAAGUGCACUCGAAAACUGCAGGGGCUCGAGUCCCGGAGAGGAUAGUGGAAUUCUCGGUGUAGAGGUGAAAUUCGUAGAUAUCGAGAGGAACACCGGUGGCGAAGGCGGCUAUCUGGACGGUGACUGACGCUGAGACGCGAAAGCGUGGGGGAGCAAACAGG
rnacentral:rRNA from 1 species